GAAGGGAGGGAGGGCGACGCGCGGAAGGCUCCCUGAGGGGAAUGGCGGCCUCUCUCUCUCGCGCGCUCUCUCUCUCUUCUGAGGGGGAAAGUGUGCACUAAACACCCCCCCCGAGGGAAGGGGCCGGCCUCGAGGCCACGUCCACGCUGCCAUGCCUUGCCUGAGGAAUCUAACCGCAGUGAAUGUGGAGGACGUACUGCAAUUUGCCAUAAUCCCCUUCACCACCUGGAACAGACUAAGCAUGUGCCUUUCAACACUCUAUUAAGAGAAGGAGAUUGAUCCUUUUUCAUAAGAGCUCAGUAUCUACAAGACAGCAAGAUAUGUGCCUGAGAUGUAAUUUCAAUGAAACAAGAACAAACAACGUCCCGAGUACCUUGAAUAAAGCUGGAAUAAAGCUGAAAACCCUUGCCCUUCUUGGCCCAUUAAAAGGGCCAGAAUGGGACUGACCAAGUGGGUGAAGGGAGUAGUGAAUACACCUCACAAUAGGGCAAGGUUUCAACAUGACUAAAGAGGAAGUUGUGAAGCCUCUCUUGAAAAAGACGUCCCUCUAUAUACGUACUGGGCAGUACCCAACAUCUCAUGUUUAGGCAAGCUAAUAGAACUCCAAGGAUUCUUGGAUAAAGCAAAUUACCAAAAUCAGUUUCAUUCAGGUUUUAGACCUGGUUAUGUGACACAAAUUGCUUUUUUACCAAAGUCCCAGUAGCUGACACCCUCACACUAAUCAAACAAAACUUCCCAGAAGACAUCACAGCCCUGUUUCACCAUUUCCUCACCACUAGCUACUUUCAGUGGGACACUGGAUUCUAUGAACAGAAGGAUGGAGUGGCCAUGGGGAGCCCUCUCAGCCCAGUAGUAGCAAAUUUCUAUAUGGAAUACUUUGAAAAACAGGCCCUAGAAACAGCACCAAAAAAGCCAACUGUUUGGUUCAGAUACGUAGAUGACACCUUCACAAUUUGGAGCCAUGGAGAGGAAGAACUCAACAAGUUCCUGGACCAUCUUAACAGCAUCCACCCAAACAUCCAAUUCACCAUGGAAAAAGAAAAGGAAGGAAAACUGCCAUUUCUAAAUGUUCUGGUCAUCCGCAAACCCAAUCAACAAUUGCGCCACACAGUUUACAGAAAACCUACACACACAGAUAGAUACCUUCAUAAAAACUCCAACCAUCACCCUAGUCAAAAAAGGAGCACAAUCAAAUCCCUGACAGACCGUGCACAAAGAAUCUGCAAACCUCACCUCCUCCAAGGUGAACUCAACCACCUAAACUGGGCUCUACAGGCCAAUGGAUACUCCACCACAGACAUCAGAAGAGCUGCAAGGCCAAGAACAAGCCAUAAGAGUCAAGACAAAGAUCCACCCAGAGGAAAGGUGUUCUUACCUUUCAGUGGUUCCCUUAUCAAGGGAACCACUGACCGCAUAGGCAAACUGAUGAAGAAGCACAACUGUCAGGACCCAGGCUACAGAGCACCAAUAACCAUGCGCAGAGGCCAGAUUCUAUCUAAUAUCUUUAUUAAAGGAAUAUAUAAAGUCAAUAAAAACAAGUGAAGAAUAUAGUUCAGAAGUAGACCUUUCAGGAAAGGUCAAAUAUAGUCCAGGAAAACAAUGUCCAAUAUAUGAUAUUAGAGUCCAAAGUUAUAAUCCAAUAAUCCACUCAACCGGGGAAAUGACAGGGUCCUUUAGUCCAAUGGACUUGACAACAAGGCUAGAAGCAAACUAGAUUCUUGGCAAAUAAGAUUUGAUACGAGGCAACAAGAGGCAAGAAGCAAGAACGAGGUCCGUGGCGAGAUCCGGGGACAAGGCAGGCUUGGAACUAGAACAAGGUCCGUGGCAAGGUCCUGGGAACAAAGAACUGGAGUAGCGUAGUCCACACACGAUCUUACUCCUGAAGCUGACGAAUUGACUCCGCAAGGAUUUCCUUGCGGGUAAACACCUAUAUAGGAUCUCGUUUUCCCGCCAAGGAACACUUUCCCUGGGGAACAAGAAGUGAAACCCAUACUGUGUCCAGAUGCAUGACUCCUUAAGAUUUCCCAAGGGAAACAGGCUUAAUCAUCUAAUUGUCUGGCAGCAAUUCUGGCGCUUUGGCGAUUCGCCUCCCUAGCGCCUCUAUCUCGAUUAUAAUUAUCCCGGCGAGAGAACGGGGGAGAUUUCUGCUCAAGGCUUGUUUGGCUGACUUCUUGUGGGCAAACAUCUUGCAGGUGCAGGGGCUCCAAUUCUGGCUGAAACAGUGGGAAACCCAAGUUUUCCUCUUCGUCUGCCACAAUAAUACUAGGAAGGGGACUACAUGGCCCAUGAGACAUCACAACAACCUACAAACUAUCUACAGACCCACAAAGAAAAUCCAACAAAUGCUACGGUCAGCGAAGGACAAGAGGGAUCCUCUCUCCUCUGCAGGAGUCUACCGUAUCCCAUGCAGCUGUGGACAAGUAUACAUAGGGACCACCAAACGCAGCGCCCAAACAAGAGUCAAAGAACAUGAAAGGCACUGCAGACUAAUUCAACCAGAGAAAUCAGCCAUAGCAGAGCAUUUGAUGAACCAGCCUGGACACAGGAUAUUAUUUGAGAACACAAAAAUGCUGGACCAUUCCAACAACUAUUAUGUCAGACUACACAGAGAAGCCAUUGAAAUCCACAAGCAUGUGGACAACUUCAACAGAAAGGAAGAAACCAUGAAAAUGAACAAAAUCUGGCUACCAGUAUUACAAAACUCCAAAAUCAAAACAGUAGAUGGGAACCAACACUUUGAGGGCUUGACUGAACAAAGGAUGCCCCCAGGCAAGACACAAAACAUUUCCAAUGCUAAUUAGGGUGAUUAACUGAAACAUUAAUGCUGGCUCCCAGUGACAAAGGACUCUUGCCACACCCUGGACUCUCCACAGAUAUAUAUUCUUUCCUUUCCUUACUUAGUUUAUCCAUACCUCACAACCUCUGAGGAUGCCUGCCAUAGAUGUGGGCGAAACGUCAGGAGAGAAUACUUCUGGAACAUGGCCACACAGCCCGAAAGACAUACAACAACCCCACAAAUUGCUUUGUUCAUGCUGGUAUAUAACCUCUGCCAGGAACUAGAUAGGGGGAUGUGUCCCUGUUGGAUCUGCCAGACCUCCAGUGGCUUUUGAGAUCAUCAGCUGCAUGUCUUCUAGGGUCCUGUGUGGGAAUGUAACUUGAGGGGGUACCCCAGAAGGUGAUGCUGAGGAUUCUUGUUCAAUUCCUCAGCCAUUGGAUUGUGCCCCCCCUUCCCCACAGAUUGCCAGUAUUGUUGGAGUUAGUUUGGAGUCCUAGGUUUUUGCAAUAGCCAGGUGGUACUUAAAGCUAGUGUCAACAGCCCCCAUUCCUGGAGAUGCUCUGUCUCACCAUGGUGAAACAUGUCGUGGUUGCAUCCUCUUUGGAUUACACACAGGGCUGCCCUCAAAGAGUGUUUGGAAACAUCAGUUGGUACAAAAACCUGGAGGCAGAGUGCAAACGGGCUGGUUACGGAGAUCAUACAAUUCCCUUGUUCCAAAUGCUGCCCUGGCUCCUGCUCUCAUUCUGGACACAAUUCAAAGUGUUGUCUUUGACCUAUAAAGAAAGACAAAAACUGUAAUCGGUAAUCCAAGUAAGAAAGAUUUCUAUUACUUCUUAUCCUGGUAGACAUUUGUUCUCGAUUCAAGAGGGGGAAGUGUUGUUUUUUAAAAAGAAAAAAAGGGAUUUUCUGGCACUCUAAAGGCUAAUAAAUCUUAUUUCACAUAGGACUUCACAUAUUACUGCCUGUUUGCAUCACACAUCUGAAGCGGUGAGCUAGAAUCCAUGAAGGGUCAUGACAGAUAAAACUAGUUAGUCUUUAAGGCAUCUCAAAGCUGUUCUCAGAUUCAUAGCCACAAGGUAAUACUCUUGUGCUGAUGUUUGUGGAAUAUUAACAUACAGAUCUUCACCCCUGAAUGUAUGAAACUAUCUAUGGUUUGAGUGUUGGACUGUGACUGUAAGAGUUAACCCAAUAGUUAACCUUGAACAAAACACAUAUCUUCAGAGGAUGGCAACGGAAAACAUCAGCAGCAUAAAUCUUACCAAGGAACCCCUAUGGUUACCAUAAAUUGGAGUUUACCUAAAGGCACACAAUAAAAAUAAAAUCUGAGUCAUGCCAUUGAUGCCUCUAGCCCCAUACUGUCAACGCUAGCAGGCUAGAGCUUCUUAGAGCAAUUGCUGCUUGUGGUCUUUUGUCACCAGAAAGACUGGGAAUAGUUGGUGAGAAUCGGGCAAUUUUAUAUUAAGAAAAUAAAAAUAGCUUUGGGAUUUAGCCAUUUAUAAUGUAGGUGGGUGUUGUUGUUUUUUGUUUUGGUACAGGCUGAGUAUCCGUUACCUGAAAUGCUUAGGAAGUGGAUACCUAUAUUUGCCUAUAACUUGGAGAUAGAACCCAAGUUUUUAAACAUAAAGUCGUUUAUGCUUCAUACAUAUCACAUAAACAUAGCCUGAAGGUAAUUUUGUACACAAUAUUUUGUGCAAGAAACCAAGUUUACGUGCAUAGAACCAGCACAAAGCAAAGGUGUCACUAUCUCAGCCACCUCUGUAGAUGAUUUUGGAUUUCUUAAUUCCAGCAAAAGAAUGCUCAAUCUGUAUCCUAAAUGCAGUGUUUAGUAUCAGCUGCAGUAUAUCAAUUUAUUCAAUGCAUGAACAGUUUUUUUUAAUUAAAAACACUUAUAAAAGAAGAAA